rnacentral:tRNA from 1 species
GGCCACUUAGCUCAUCUGGAUAGAGCACCUGCCUUCUAAGCAGGUUGUCGCAGGUUCGAUUCCUGCAGGGGUCGCCA